GCCUCAUCUUGCAAAACCUUCCAUGCUGCAGUUACAUGUCUCUCUUCAGUCAAUGGUGCUCCUACUGCAAAUCGCAAUAUAUACUUGCCUGAUAGAACUGUAUGAGAUAUAAAAAUUUUCCCAGUGGAGUUUGCUGCAUCUAAUAGGUCAUGGUUCAAUUUGUUGCCAUGAUCUUCAUUGUUGUCUGGAGGUAAAAGGCGAAAACAAACCAAUGAAAAUAUCCGAGAGGCAACAACCUCAAACCUAGUGUCUCCAGCAACAAGGCCUUCAAAAUAUUUAGCCAAGUUAAUAUGAUUUCUGAUGUAGCAUUGUAGAUUUUCCACACCAUAUAAUCGCAAUACCAUCCACAGUUUCAAUGACCUAAAUCGACGUCCAAGAGGAAUUUGCCAAUCUUUGUAAUCCACAACCAUGUUUGCUUGGGAGGCUUUGUUUUUCAGAAACUCUGGAUUUG
rnacentral:misc_RNA from 1 species